GGGGGACCUUCGGAGGGAUCAU
rnacentral:rRNA from 1 species